AGUCGAGGGGUAUAUGUCUUCGGAUAUAGAGACCGGCGCACGGGUGCGUAACGCGUAUGCAAUCUACCUUUUACAGAGGGAUAGCCCAGAGAAAUUUGGAUUAAUACCUCAUAGCAUAGCAGUCUCGCAUGAGAUCACUAUUAAAGUCACAACGGUAAAAGAUGAGCAUGCGUCCCAUUAGCUAGUUGGUAAGGUAACGGCUUACCAAGGCUACGAUGGGUAGGGGUCCUGAGAGGGAGAUCCCCCACACUGGUACUGAGACACGGACCAGACUCCUACGGGAGGCAGCAGUGAGGAAUAUUGGACAAUGGGCGCAAGCCUGAUCCAGCCAUGCCGCGUGCAGGAUGACGGUCCUAUGGAUUGUAAACUGCUUUUGUACGAGAAGAAACACCCCGACGUGUCGGGACUUGACGGUAUCGUAAGAAUAAGGAUCGGCUAACUCCGUGCCAGCAGCCGCGGUAAUACGGAGGAUCCAAGCGUUAUCCGGAAUCAUUGGGUUUAAAGGGUCCGUAGGCGGUUUAGUAAGUCAGUGGUGAAAGCCCAUCGCUCAACGGUGGAACGGCCAUUGAUACUGCUAAACUUGAAUUAUUAGGAAGUAACUAGAAUAUGUAGUGUAGCGGUGAAAUGCUUAGAGAUUACAUGGGAAUACCAAUUGCGAAAGGCAGGUUACUACUAAUGGAUUGACGCUGAUGG
rnacentral:rRNA from 1 species